GGAACGAGUUAUCUGAACCUUCGGGGAACGAUAACGGCGUCGAGCGGCGGACGGGUGAGUAAUGCCUGGGAAUAUGCCUUGAUGUGGGGGAUAACUAUUGGAAACGAUAGCUAAUACCGCAUAAUCUCUUCGGAGCAAAGAGGGGGACCUUCGGGCCUCUCGCGUCAAGAUUAGCCCAGGUGGGAUUAGCUAGUUGGUGAGGUAAGGGCUCACCAAGGCGACGAUCCCUAGCUGGUCUGAGAGGAUGAUCAGCCACACUGGAACUGAGACACGGUCCAGACUCCUACGGGAGGCAGCAGUGGGGAAUAUUGCACAAUGGGCGAAAGCCUGAUGCAGCCAUGCCGCGUGUAUGAAGAAGGCCUUCGGGUUGUAAAGUACUUUCAGCAGUGAGGAAGGUGGUGUACUUAAUACGUGCAUCAUUUGACGUUAGCUGCAGAAGAAGCACCGGCUAACUCCGUGCCAGCAGCCGCGGUAAUACGGAGGGUGCGAGCGUUAAUCGGAAUUACUGGGCGUAAAGCGCAUGCAGGUGGUUUGUUAAGUCAGAUGUGAAAGCCCGGGGCUCAACCUCGGAACUGCAUUUGAAACUGGCAGACUAGAGUACUGUAGAGGGGGGUAGAAUUUCAGGUGUAGCGGUGAAAUGCGUAGAGAUCUGAAGGAAUACCGGUGGCGAAGGCGGCCCCCUGGACAGAUACUGACACUCAGAUGCGAAAGCGUGGGGAGCAAACAGGAUUAAUACCCUGGUAGUCCACGCCGUAAACGAUGUCUACUUGGAGGUUGUGGCCUUGAGCCGUGGCUUUC
rnacentral:rRNA from 1 species